UAUCUAUGUGUGGGGGUAAUCUAGUUUGGUCACGUCUAACCAUUCCAGUCAAAGAAGUACGAUGCUUCGGUUCACUACAAUGUUUUGAUCAAGUCUUUUGUUGGCGUUGAUUCAUCGGAAACGUUGGUUGUCCAUUAUUCGCCUGUAUGGACUGUUUCCUUUUUAUGUCCUUUGCUCCGCCCUCUCUACCUCUAUGAUGUUAAUGAUGACACUUUUAUGCUGUUAAAACAAAAUAACCAGUCUUGUUAUGUCAGAAUUUAAUAUGAUUCAAUGGGUGUUUUUGACUUAGUACUUUUUUAAUUACUUUAACAUUGAUUAACCUUUGUUUCUGUCCGAAUUGUAGAUGACUUUAAUAUGGUAUUCAGCCUUAUGUUUUUUGAUAUAAUUCUUUUAGACAGGUUAACGGUCUCUUUGCGUGAUCGUCGAUAAAAACUAUUGUUUAGGAUUUGCAUAUUGUGUGUAAUGUAUCAGCCGUAUAAGACAUGUUAUACUUUACAAUUAA